GAAAUGCGUUAAGUAAUGUGAAUUGCCGAAUUCAGUGAAUCAUCGAAUCUUUGAACGCUCCUUGCGCUCCUUGGUAUUCCUUGGAGCAUGCCUGUUUGAGUAUCAUGAAAUCUUCAAAGUAAAUCUUUUGUUAACUCAAUUGGUUUCUACUUUGGUAUUGGAGGUCUUUGCAGCUUCACACCUGCUCCUCUUUGUUCAUUAGCUGGAUCUCAGUGUUAUGCUUGGUUCCACUCGGCGUGAUAAGUUAUCUAUCGCUGAGGACACUGUAAAAGGUGGCCAAGGUAAAUGCAGAUGAACCGCUUCUAAUAGUCCAUUGACUUGGACAAUACUUUUAUGAUCUGAUCUCAAAUCAGGUAGGACUACCCGCUGAACUUAAGC
rnacentral:misc_RNA from 1 species